rnacentral:misc_RNA from 1 species
UUCCAUGGAGUCAUGGGAGGAGAUAGAGAAAACAGUUUUUUGUUAUGACGCUGGCAUCACAACUGCAGACUAUUUUCAAUUUUAUCAUACGUAUCCAAGUGCGGCAUUAUCUUCAUACAGUAAUAUUUCUGUGAACUUGAGAAGCUUGAAGUUAGAUUUGGAUUAAAAAAGGGCCUUCAUCCACAGAUGUUGCUAAUGAAUGCAAGGAGGCUUUAUUUUCUCAUGUUGUGGCCGUGGUGAAUCAUUUUUUGGGCUGCCCAUUGUUGAUUGGGUCCCAUUGGCAGGAAUACUUUGUGGUGGGGAAAUAGGCCAUGGCAUUUAAAUCUUGAAUGCACAUGGAAGGCAAGAAGAAAGCACUUUGAGUUGUCUGCAUAUAUUUACCACAGUAUUUCGGGUGCUGUCAUAUGACUCCGCCGUCAACUAUGGACAUUAAAUCCUGUCCAUGAUUGUGCCCCAAAUUGAUGGAAGGGAAUCAGAGAUAUGACUCAAUUGCAAGUGGAGGAUGACGCUUCUGUUUCUUCUCUCCAUUUUCUUAAAGCAGUGGGCAUGUGUCUUUGUGAAAGAACAUGUAUGGAAUAAUAUUGUAGUACGGUUUGACAGAAUUGUUGGAAAUAAAUUCAUUUUGUCUGUAUGAAAGACCAUGUAUGGAAUAUUUCUACCACUAUUUCACCAACUAUGCAAAGGCCAAGUCCAAAAAAAAAG